GCAGUAUGAAUAGUAAGUAGUCCCAUCUACUCAGGAGGCUGCAGCGGGAAGAUCGCUUGAGCCCAGGAGCUCCUGGCUGUCUGUAGUGCUCUGUGCUGAGACCCCCCCCCCACACUCUAGGCUUAGCAACAAUAGGGUGACCUUCCAGGAGCGGGGACCACCAGAUUGCCUAAGGAGGGGUGAACUGGACCAGGUCAGAAACGGAGCAGGUCAAAACUCCGGCGCUGAUCAGCAGUGGGAUUGUGCCUGUGAAUGGCCAUUGUGCUCCAGCCUGGGCAACAUAAUGAGACCCUGCCUCU
rnacentral:SRP_RNA from 1 species